rnacentral:rRNA from 1 species
UGGGGACUAUUGGACAAUGGGCGAAAGCCUGAUCCAGCCAUGCCGCGUGUGUGAAGACGGUCCUCGGAUUGUAAAGCACUUUAAGUUGGGAGGAAGGGCAGUAAGCGAAUACCUUGCUGUUUUGACGUUACCGACAGACUAAGCACCGGCCAACUCUGUGCCAGCAGCCGCGGUAAUACAGAGGGUGCAAGCGUUAAUCGGAAUUACUGGGCGUAAAUCGCGCGUAGGUGGUUCGUUAAGUUGAAUGUUAAAGCCCCGGGCUCAACCUGGGAACUGCAUCCAAAACUGGCGAGCUCGAGUAGAGCAGAGGGUGGUGGAAUAUCCUGUGUAGCGGUGAAAUGCGUAGAUAUAGGAAGGAACACCAGUGGCGAAGGCGACCACCUGGGCUCAUACUGACACUGAGGUGCGAAAGCGUGGGGAGCAAACAGG